rnacentral:rRNA from 1 species
GAACGAAUGCUAGGGGUGGGCUUAACACAUGCAAGUUCCUAGGUUUGUGACUAUGGAGCGUACGGGUGAGUAGUUGCAAAUUUUGUUACCUUCCCGGGCUGAAGAUUAGUUUGCAAAGAAUUAGGUAGUUGGCGAGGUAGCGGCUCACCAAGCCCAUAAUACUUAGUUGGUUUGAGAGAAUGGCCAGCCACAGUGGAACUGAGACAAGGUCCAAACUCCUUCGGGAGACAGCAGUGGGGAAUAUUGGACAAUGGGCGUAAGCCUGAUCCAGCUACAUUCCGUGGAUGAAGAUAGUUUCUUGACUGUAAAAUCCUGUCGGCCAAUGAUAAUAAUGAUGGUAAUUGGUAAUGAAACCCCGACCAACUUCGUGCCAGCAGUCGCGGUAAUACGAAGGGGGCUGGUGUUGUUCAUCAUGACUGGGCGUAAAGGGUGCGUAGGUGGAAAUCGGCAUGUCGCUACUAAAAAUUCCCUUGGAGUCGCAAGGGAAACUAGGGUGAGACCGAUUGUGCCUUGAGUUGCGGAGAGGUUGGCAGAAUUUUUGGUUGAGGGGUGGCAUUCUAAGAUACCAAAAGGAAUGUCGUGGGCGAAGGCAGCUGGCUGGACGUAAACUGACACUGAGGCACGAAAGCAUAGGUAGCGAUAGGGAUUAGGUACCCCUGUAGUCUAUGCCCGGAACGAUGAGUAUUAAGGGUUGGUAUUUUUCAUCAGUCCUAUAGCUAACGCGUUAAAUACUCCGCCUGAGAACUACGAUCGCAAGGUUAAAACUUAAAGGAACUGACGGGAGUUCACACAAGCGGUGGAGCAUGUGGUUUAAUGCGAAGAUACCCGCCAAAUCUUACCAGUUUUUGACUGUUGCGGAGGCAUUUUGUAUGUUCUUGCUGCAAUUCAGGUGCUGCAUGGCUGACAGAAGUUCGUGUUUUGAAACGUUUGGUUAAUUCCGCUAACGGACGCAAUCCUUGUUACUAGUAUACAACCUAGAUUGUUGUUCUACGUAAGACUGCCCGUGAUAAAUGGGAGAAAGGUGAGGAAUAUGUCAAGCCCUUAUGGCCCUUAUGAACUGGGCUACACAUGUGCUACAAUGGAAACUACAGCGGGUUGCGAGGCUGCAAGGUUUAGCUAAUCCCUAAAAGUUUUCUUAGUUCGGAUUGAUUCCUGCAACUCGGAAUCAUGAAGCCGGAAUCGCUAGUAAUCGAAGAUAAGUAUGCUUCGGUGAAUUGGUACUGAACUUUGUACUCACCGC